AGAGUUUGAUUAUGGCUCAGGAUGAACGCUGGCGGCGUGCCUAACACAUGCAAGUCGAACGGAGUAACGAGAGUUUACUUUGUUACUUAGUGGCGGACGGGUGAGUAAUGCGUGAGCAACCUGCCUUUCAGAGGGGGACAACAGUUGGAAACGACUGCUAAUACCGCGUAACAUACAGGGACCGCAUGAUUCUUGUAUCAAAGGAGCAAUCCGCUGAAAAGAUGGGCUCACGUCUGAUUAGCUUGUUGCGGGGUAACGGCCCACCAAGGCGACGAUCAGUAGCCGGACUGAGAGGUUGAACGGCCACAUUGGGACUGAGAUACGGCCCAGACUCCUACGGGAGGCAGCAGUGGGGAAUAUUGGGCAAUGGGCGAAAGCCUGAACCCCAGCAACGCCGCGUGAAGGAAGAAGGUCUUCGGAUUGUAAACUUCUUUUAUGAGGGACGAAGGACGUGACGGUACCUCAUGAAUAAGCCACGGCUAACUACGUGCCAGCCGCUGC
rnacentral:rRNA from 1 species